CUACUACCAUGCCCUGGGAACUCGUGGACAUCAACUACAACUCAUACCUGAGAUAGUGCAGCCAGGUGUAGGCUUCACCUCUCCUUGUUUAUGACACUGAUUGGGAUGGCUGGGUGAUGGCUGUGAGAUUAAUAACUUAUUGGCGUGGAGGUGCAAGAAUAAGGAUUUUCAAGCUUCAGCGGAAGACAGGGACACUGGUUACAUUGUCUUUCGAGGAGGAGUGACCAGUAGCCGAGGAGGAACCCCAGUCAUAGCGGGAGGAGGAGCCCCUCUGCCGGUCUCAGUGACUCUCCACCACACACUCACUCCACCUCUGCCCAUCAAUACAAUCAAGUUGAGGUGGGUAAGGCAUUUGCACUCUUGAACAGCCACAAUGGGUUGUACUGUACAUCCCAUCUGACACCUACAUUUUACAAGCUCCCUACAGCCCUUAGAACCCUCUGGUGGCCUUGUCAAGAAAGGUCUCCACGCAACAUCCUCUUCCACCCAUCCCCACUCUGAUGGUGAAGGUGUGUCAGUACUGUAUCUGCUACCAACGACUGUCCCCAUAUGUGUCCAGCUUGAGAGCAGGCUCUCUUCAUAUGUUUCCUCUUCGUGGUUUGGAACACCUGAGACAUCCACGAUCUCGUCUCUGCUACGGUCUUACGUCUACCUUCGCUUGUCCGAUCAAGAUAUCUCCAUGGCCCAACCUGGAUUAUUGACUACUUUUGAAAUAAAUU
rnacentral:lncRNA from 1 species